rnacentral:rRNA from 1 species
AGGGUUCGAUUCUGGCUCAGGAUGAACGCUGGCGGCGUGCCUAAUACAUGCAAGUCGUACGGAGCGCUUCAGCUUGCUGGAGAGCUCAGUGGCGAACGGGUGAGUAAUACGUAAGUAACCUGCCUGCAAGGACUGGGAUAACACCUGGAAACGGGCGCUAAUACCGGAUAGGUAACAGAGGGGCAUCCCACUGUUAUUAAAGGUUAAAAACACAAGCAGAUGGGCUUACGGUGCAUUAGUUAGUUGGUGAGGUAACGGCCCACCAAGGCGAUGAUGCAUAGCCGGCCUGAGAGGGUGAACGGCCACAUUGGGACUGAGACACGGCCCAGACUCCUACGGGAGGCAGCAGUAGGGAAUUUUCGGCAAUGGGCGCAAGCCUGACCGAGCAACGCCGCGUGAGUGAAGAAGAAUUUCGGUUCGUAAAGCUCUGUUGUAAGGGAAGAAUAACACGGAGAGAAUCCGUGCAUGACGGUACCUUACCAGAAAGCCACGGCUAACUACGUGCCAGCCGCCGC